CCUACGGGUGGCAGCAGUGGGGAAUAUUGGGCAAUGGGCGCAAGCCUGACCCAGCAACGCCGCGUGAAGGAAGAAGGCUUUCGGGUUGUAAACUUCUUUUCAUAGGGAAGAGCAGAAGACGAUACCUCUUGAAUAAGCCCCGGCUCACUACGUGCCAGCAGCCGCGGUAAUACGUGGGUGGCAAGCGUUGUUCGGUGUUACUGGGUGUAAAGGGCGUGCAGCCGGGAAGACAAGUCAGAUGUGAAAUCCCGCGGCUGAACCGCGGAACUACAUGUGAAACUGUUUUUCUUGAGUACCGGAGAGGUCAUCGGAAGUCCUUGUGUAGCGGUGAAAUGCGUAGAUAUAAGGAAGAACACCAGUGGCGAAGGCGGAUGACUGGACGGCAACUGACGGUGAGGCGCGAAAGCGUGGGGAGCAAACAGGAUUAGAUACCCUAGUAGUC
rnacentral:rRNA from 1 species